UACGAAGGGGGCUAGCGUUGUUCGGAUUUACUGGGCGUAAAGCGCACGUAGGCGGAUCGUUAAGUCGGGGGUGAAAUCCUGGAGCUCAACUCCAGAACUGCCUUCGAUACUGGCGAUCUUGAGUCCGGAAGAGGUGAGUGGAACUCCUAGUGUAGAGGUGGAAUUCGUAGAUAUUAGGAAGAACACCGGUGGCGAAGGCGGCGACCUGGUUCGAUACUGACACUGAGGUGCGAAAGCGUGGGGAGCAAACAGG
rnacentral:rRNA from 1 species